AGUGAACGCUGGCGGUAGGCCUAACACAUGCAAGUCGAACGGCAGCACAGUAAGAGCUUGCUCUUACGGGUGGCGAGUGGCGGACGGGUGAGGAAUACAUCGGAAUCUACUUUUUCGUGGGGGAUAACGUGGGGAAACUUACGCUAAUACCGCAUACGACCUACGGGUGAAAGCAGGGGAUCUUCGGACCUUGCGCGAUUGAAUGAGCCGAUGUCGGAGUAGCUAGUUGGCGGGGUAAAGGCCCACCAAGGCGACGAUCCGUAGCUGGUCUGAGAGGAUGAUCAGCCACACUGGAACUUAGACACGGUCCAGACUCCUACGGGAGGCAGCAGUGUGGAAUAUUGGACAAUGGGCGCAAGCCUGAUCCAGCCAUACCGCGUGGGUGAAGAAGGCCUUCGGGUUGUAAAGCCCUUUUGUUGGGAAAGAAAAGCAGCAGGUUAAUACCCCGCUGUUCUGACGGUACCCAAAGAAUAAGCACCGGCUAACUUCGUG
rnacentral:rRNA from 1 species